rnacentral:rRNA from 1 species
CCUACGGGCGGCAGCAGUGAGGAAUAUUGGUCAAUGGGCGGAAGCCUGAACCAGCCAAGUAGCGUGCAGGAUGACGGCCCUACGGGUUGUAAACUGCUUUUAUACGGGAAUAACGCGCCUUACGUGUAGGGCUUUGCAUGUACCGGAUGAAUAAGGACCGGCUAAUUCCGUGCCAGAAGCCGCGUUAAUACGGAAGGUCAGGGCGUUAUCCGGCUUUAUUGGGGUGAAAGGGGGCGUAGGCCGCAUGUCAAGCGUGCUGUGAAAUGUCCGGGCUCAACCCGGGCCUUGCAGCGCGAACUGGCGUGCUUGAGUCCGCGGAAGGCAGGCGGAAUUCGUCGUGUAGCGGUGAAAUGCUUAGAUAUGACGAAGAACCCCGAUUGCGAAGGCAGCUUGCUGCAGCGGAACUGACGCUGAUGCUCGAAAGCGCGGGUAUCGAACAGGAUUAGAUACCCCUGUAGUC